rnacentral:rRNA from 1 species
UACGGGGGGAGCAAGCGUUGUUCGGAUUUACUGGGCGUAAAGCGUGCGCAGGCGGUUAUGUAAGACAGAUGUGAAAUGCCCGGGCUUAACCUGGGAACUGCAUUUGUGACUGCAUGGCUAGAGUUUGGCAGAGGGGGGUAGAAUUCCACGUGUAGCAGUGAAAUGCGUAGAUAUGUGGAGGAACACCGAUGGCGAAGGCAGCCCCCUGGGUCAAGACUGACGCUCAUGCACGAAAGCGUGGGGAGCAAACAGG